UCUCAAAUCCUAUACGAUUGAUUAUGAUGAGAUGGUCUUAUACGAUUGAAGGCUACCACCUUUGUUCUCUCGCCUCAUUCUCACCUGCUCCGAUCCAAGCAUCGUCUUCAAGAAAACCCGAUCCUAAUCGUCGCAAGCCAAUCCGGAGUACAUCGUCAUCUCAACCGGAGAAUAGAAUGCGGUUUCAAAUCUUGAAGUUGAGUCAGAUCAUUUAUUCUACAAUGAUGUCGUUCGAGUCUCCGAUUCAGAUCGAUUGCAGAUUUUGGACAAUAGCAAUGACAAUAUUUAUAUGGAUUGAAUUUUAAGUCGUGUUGCUUCAACUGCCAGUCCCACGGCCAUGGUGUCAUGACCAUGAUCAUGACCUACAGCUACCUAGCUAUAUACUCUUCAUCUUCUUCUUCGACAUGGCUUGCUGUUCUCUGCAGUUACCUACUUCUGAUUUUGAAUAUUCUACAACAACUACAAGGACAUGGAGGAGUAAGACACCUCGUCCAUUUCAAACCAUCUGCUCUUGAUGACUUAUUUAUUUUGUUUUUUUAGAGAGAGAAGACCUAUUUGUUUUGUUAAUUUAGCUGAUUUGCAGAUUAUAUU